rnacentral:rRNA from 1 species
AUUGAACGCUGGCGGCAUGCUUUACACAUGCAAGUCGAACGGUAACAGGCCGCAAGGUGCUGACGAGUGGCGAACGGGUGAGUAAUGCAUCGGAACGUGCCCAGUCGUGGGGGAUAACGCAGCGAAAGCUGUGCUAAUACCGCAUACGAUCUAUGGAUGAAAGCGGGGGACCGUAAGGCCUCGCGCGAUUGGAGCGGCCGAUGUCAGAUUAGGUAGUUGGUGGGGUAAAGGCCUACCAAGCCGACGAUCUGUAGCUGGUCUGAGAAGACGACCAGCCACACUGGACUGAGACACGGCCCAGACUCCUACGGGAGGCAGCAGUGGGGAAUUUUGGACAAUGGGCGCAAGCCUGAUCCAGCAAUGCCGCGUGCAGGAAGAAGGCCUUCGGGUUGUAAACUGCUUUUGUACGGAACGAAACGGUCUGGGUUAAUACCCUGGGCUAAUGACGGUACCGUAAGAAUAAGCACCGGCUAACUACGUGCCAGCAGCCGCAGUAACAC